rnacentral:rRNA from 1 species
UAAUGUAUGGGGAUCUGCCCGAUAGAGGGGGAUAACUACUGGAAACGGUGGCUAAUACCGCAUAAUGUCUACGGACCAAAGCAGGGGCUCUUCGGACCUUGCACUAUCGGAUGAACCCAUAUGGGAUUAGCUAGUAGGUGGGGUAAAGGCUCACUUAGGCGACGAUCUCUAGCUGGUCUGAGAGGAUGAUCAGCCACACUGGGACUGAGACACGGCCCAG